rnacentral:rRNA from 1 species
UACGUAGGGGGCUAGCGUUGUCCGGAAUCAUUGGGCGUAAAGAGCGUGUAGGCGGCCCGGUAAGUCCGCUGUAAAAGUCAAAGGCUCAACCUUUGAAUGUCAGUGGAUACUGCCGGGCUAGAGUCCGGAAGAGGCGAGUGGAACUCCUGGUGUAGCGGUGGAAUGCGCAGAUAUCAGGAAGAACACCAACGGCGAAGGCAGCUCGCUGGGACGGAACUGACGCUGAGGCGCGAAAGCGUGGGGAGCAAACAGG